UACAGAGGGGGCAAGCGUUGUUCGGAAUUACUGGGCGUAAAGGGCGCGUAGGCGGCCUUCUAAGUCGAACGUGAAAUCCCCGGGCUCAACCCGGGAACUGCGUCCGAUACUGGAAGGCUUGAAUCCGGGAGAGGGAUGCGGAAUUCCAGGUGUAGCGGUGAAAUGCGUAGAUAUCGGGAGGAAUACCAGUGGCGAAGGCGGCUGCCUGGCCUGUUCUUGACGCUGAGGCGCGAAAGCUGGGGGAGCAAACGGG
rnacentral:rRNA from 1 species